rnacentral:lncRNA from 1 species
CAAAGUACCGGUAGUAAAUACAUCCGUUGAGAUGUGCGUAGAGAUUGUCUGCAGUGGUUGCGCAGGUGCCUUGAUAAAGGAUGAUCGGUCUUUUAGUUAGCAGCAGCACGGGUAAUUGAUGUAGCCGAUUAAAAACGAGUAUUUUAGCUUCUUUGAUGUACAUUUUAAGUGAGGGAAUUACUGUGUGAUAAUAAUAACGCUUCAUCGACACCUUCGUUGAUUUAGGACAGUUUGACGCACAUGUGCAUUGAGGAAUUUAAUCAUAAAUGCAACAGAUCAAUUAUUUUGCAUAUAAUUUUGAUCGAAGUGUAUUUUAAAACCAGCCGUCGUGAGUAUUCCUCAGACAGUUUAGUGACGACGACCACCGACUGCGCGCGGAAUCGUGUACAAGCAUAAGUCGACGAUUUUUUAAACAUGUGACCUAUAGAAACGCCCACAGGGUACUUUACGCAGUGUGACGUUUUGCCACAAAUAUGAAAAUCAGUAAUGAACUAGCAACGAGGUAUUGUAUCUCUCUCGGUUCAUUGAUGUAAGGGAAAACCCACUGAUUAUCUUAUGCUCUGAGUUCAAUCUGAUGUUGAAAUAACAUCACACAAGGACGGUUAAGCGUUUCGCAGAUUCGGUGCUUUGCUAUAUCGAAAACUGGGAAUACAUAUUUUGAUUUCAGCUGCAUCUAGUAGAGUUGGGGGUUUGACGCUUCAAAAGUGUAUUCGGUGAAAAGAUGUCAUGACAUUACGAUAGCAGGUGGUUCUUAGAUGAGUUGUACCAACCGGAAAGCUAGUUGAAAACUUUACUUCUACAGGGCUUAAGCCAUUACAACCGAGUGCCUGGGACGAGUCAACGUCCUUUGCGCCAGCGAAUGUGAAUGAGGGCAGGAAGAUGACUAACGUGAUCCUUAAUACUGGACCUUGCAUUCGCGUGACUACUCAACAUGAUCAUUGUACAUCCUUUGUUUUCUCCAAGAAUACAGUCUGAAUUGGCAAGAAGCUGAGGCAGAACCACGAACACGUGUGACAGUGUAGUGGUCUUACGCUUGGAAACAUUUACUUCGCCGUCUUAAUGUUUUGCACUUUACUCAUCUGCCAAUAAAUGCCACUUUCAACCGCUAGCCACUCUGAAAUCUCGCUCGUAAUUGGGCGAUAAUUUUCACAGGAGAUAGUUGGGCUACGUUGACUGAUGAUCUGACUCACUGGCUGUUUAUAUCGAACCGGCGCUCAACAAUACAAAAUUUAUUAGCUUUGCUUGAUUACAAGUCAAACCAACUGAAUAACUUGCUCUAUUCAAAAGCGACAAAGUCAUCACGUUUUAUUUAGUUGAAACAAACCCAAAUUGGCAACCGUCGAUAUUUUUUUCUGGAAAAGAUUUGGAAAUUUUUUUACGCAGAACAUCUACUCACGCAAUCAGUUGGAGAUAUAUUACGUGUUGAUACCACAUAGUUACGUGCGUGUGACAUUUUAAACACGUUGUUUUUGUUAUUAUUGAUACUCUGUGCACAGUCACUGCACGAUAUAGUGUAUGCGUGGAAGUUAAUCUCAUCCAUCACAGGUGAACCAUUCGUGGUGUGAUUUUUUUUGUUGCUAACAAUUAAUCUUACCUGUAAAGCGGUUGUUUAUAUACCUAACUCAAGUUUGUUUAAGACUGUGUGCUUUUCAGGGAUUCAUAUACUCCAACAAACUCAAUUUCCAUUCCAUGUGUCAUGGUCAUAUAUAUGACAUCAUAGAAACUUGUAAGCAAACGACAAAACGAUAGGAAUCAACGCGUACGAUCAUAAUUAUCUUUGAGACGAAAUGGCCGCCGCCGAUACACUUAUGCCUUUACCAAUUGAGGAGAUAUACGGUAUAGGCCUAUGGAUGGAGCCAGUACAACAUUUGUUUCCGUUAUCAUUUUACCAACUAAAAUUCGUAAGGUUGAGAUGUUUGGAAAUGAACCAUAACAGUCCUACACCCUUCCGACUGACUGUUUUCCAGUUAGGCUUGGCAGCAACAACAAUAUGUUGGGGGUUUUUUGAGAAUAUCAUCGGCACUUUUUAUUCUACCUAUUGUUGUCUACAGUACUGAAAAUGCCAAAAAUUAAUAUAAUGAUAAUGAAGUUAUUGGUAAUGAAU